GACGAACGCUUGCGGCGUGCUUAACACAUUCAAGUCGAACGGAAAGGCCCUUCUUUUUUGGGGUGCUCGAGUGGCGAACGGGUGAGUAACACGUGAGUAACCUGCCCUUUACUUUUGGAUAACUUCAUGAAACUUGGGCUAAUACCGGAUAGGAGCUCCUGCUUCAUGGUGGGGGUUGGAAAGUUUCGGCGGUUGGGGAUGGACUCGCGGCUUAUCAGCUUGUUGGUGGGGUAGUGGCUUACCAAGGCUUUGACGGGUAGCCGGCCUGAGAGGGUGACCGGCCACAUUGGGACUGAGAUACGGCCCAGACUCCUACGGGAGGCAGCAGUGGGGAAUAUUGCACAAUGGGCGGAAGCCUGAUGCAGCAACGCCGCGUGCGGGAUGACGGCCUUCGGGUUGUAAACCGCUUUCGCCUGUGACGAAGCGUGAGUGACGGUAAUGGGUAAAGAAGCACCGGCUAACUACGU
rnacentral:rRNA from 1 species